UUUGAUAGUUUGCUUGUGUGGGUUUUAAAUCGAAAACUUUCUCUUUCUUUCAAGACUCAUCACCUUGUUCGAAAUCUUGGCACACUAACCAUAGCAUGUCUAUAGGACCUAAAAUAAUUCUUAAAAAAUACUAUUUCUACCAAAAGCUUUUAUUUAAUUUAUGCUUAAAAAAACCCGAGUUCCCAUUUCUACUACAAGUCCUCAAA
rnacentral:lncRNA from 1 species